rnacentral:rRNA from 1 species
UCCGUAGGGUGCAAGCGUUAAUCGGAAUUACUGGGCGUAAAGCGUGCGCAGGCGGCUAUGCAAGACAGAUGUGAAAUCCCCGGGCUCAACCUGGGAACUGCAUUUGUGACUGCAUGGCUAGAGUACGGCAGAGGGGGAUGGAAUUCCGCGUGUAGCAGUGAAAUGCGUAGAUAUGUGGAGGAAUACCGAUGGCGAAGGCAGCCCCCUGGGAUAACACUGACGCUCAUGCACGAAAGCGUGGGGAGCAAACAGG